rnacentral:rRNA from 1 species
AGCAGUCGCCGCGGUAAAACGGAGGGGGCUAGCGUUGUUCGGAAUUACUGGGCGUAAAGCGCACGUAGGCGGCUUGGUAAGUUAGAGGUGAAAGCCUGGAGCUCAACUCCAGAAUUGCCUUUAAGACUGCCGAGCUAGCAGGUGAGAGAGGUAAGUGGAAUUCCGAGUGUAGAGGUGAAAUUCGUAGAUAUUCGGAAGAACACCAGUGGCGAAGGCGGCUUACUGGCUCAUACUGGACGCUGAGGUGCGAAAGCGUGGGGAGCAAACAGGAUUAGAUACCCGUGUAGUCCCUGUCUCUUAACA